AUGGCCGGCGGGAAGAAGCCGGUGCAGACUGAGAAGGGCGACAAGUCAGGGUCGAGGUCACCAUCGAGGUCACCAGCUCGCCGUUCGCGAUCACCGUCUCGCUCCCCGCGACGCGAACGGAGCCGCACGAUCCGUGGCCGCGAGCUGGCGGCGCCGGUGGUGCAGAAGGUGAUCCGUGAGUCUGGAUCGGCGAACUGGCCGAUGCUGACCAUGACCGACUACAACGACUGGUCGCUCCUGAUGAAGGUGAAGCUGGAGGCGCGUGGCUAUUGGGACGCCGUCAAGCACGGCGACGUCGACUUCCACGAGGACCGUAUGGCGCUGGAGGCCAUCCUUGGAGCGGUGCCACCUGAGAUGGUGGGCACGCUGGCCGUCAAGUCGUCGACGAAGGCAGCGUGGGAUGCGAUCGCCACCAUGCGCAUCGGCGGCGACCGUGUGCGCGCAGCCAAGGCCCAGUCGCUGGCGCGGGACUUCGAGACUAUCGAGUUUCGCGACGGGGAAACCGUGGACGAUUUCGCGAUGCGGCUCGGCUCCAUGGUCACCAACCUGAACAUCCUUGGCGACAAGGUCACCGAGGAGAAGGCGGUAAGGAAAUUCUUGCGUGUAGUG
rnacentral:rRNA from 1 species